UCCGUAUAUUGAACAUGUCACUGAUCGCGUUUUGGCAUCAAGUCUCCACCAGAAUACCCGGUGAAACCAUCAAAGUAACAACACCCGCGACUCAGGACCCAGGGUGCCGGUGUGGGCAGCCUGGCAUGACCGCGAGGUCAGCCGAGGGGUCAGACAGGUCAGCCGGAGGUCAGCGCCGGUCCCGCGAGCACCGGCGGGUCCGGCGCCGGCGGCGGCCGCCCGUCCUCGCCCCCGCCGCCGGCAGUGAGUCGUGCCGGGCCGGCGCCCGGGGCGGUCGGCUCUUCUGCAGGGUGGGUCCCUUAGACAGCCGGCCGGGCCCGGGUGCCGGACAGCUCCGUCCCUGCGACCCGUCAGCUGAACGGGCCGAUGCAGAAGGCCCCGGUGAGUCGUGGCAGCGCGGCGCCUGGGGACGAGGGCAGCGAAUAACAGCAGCUGUAGGACACAAAUUUUGCCUAAAUACCGUCUGCCCGAAGAACGUCAACUGUCAAGCCUGAAUUAUAGGGAAGUGCUAGUCGUUCGUGCUUACGUUAUCUCCCGCAGACAUCGAAGCAAAUGCUGUCAUCAAGGACACUGGACAUGCGUGACUCAUGAUUAGCCGAUCACGUAAUCAGUUAUAUUCACUAGCCGAGCUGCAGUUUUCUCACCUUACAAUAACAAUUUGCGUCGUUUUGUUUAUUCCGCGGGCGCCGCCUCGGCGUUCUCCUCGCCCGCCUUUCCGACGAUCAUCUCGAUCAGGGGCUCCAGCUCGAUGUUGUUGUCGUCGUCGAUCUCCAUCUCG